rnacentral:tRNA from 1 species
UUAAUAAAAGCCAAAAAGAGGCAUUUCAUUGUUAAUGAAAAUAAUGAAUAUUUUCUUAUUAAA